GAUGAACGCUGGCUACAGGCUUAACACAUGCAAGUCGAGGGGAAACGACGGGGAAGCUUGCUUCUCCGGGCGUCGACCGGCGCACGGGUGAGUAACGCGUAUCCAACCUGCCUCUGACUGAGGGAUAACCCGUCGAAAGUCGGCCUACUACCUCAUGGCAUCGUCUGCGGGCAUCCAACGACGAUUAAAGCUUUCAUCCGUCAGUGAUGGGGAUGCGUCUGAUUAGCUUGUUGGCGGGGUAACGGCCUACCAAGGCGACGAUGAGUAGGGGUUCUGAGAGGAAGGUACCCCAGAUCGGAACUGAGACACAGUCCAAACUGCUACGGGAGGCAGCAGUGAGGAACACUGGGCAAUGGGCGAGAGCCUGAACCAGCCAAGUAGCGUGCAGGAUGACGGCCAUAGGGGUUGUAAACUGCUUUUAUGCGGGGAUAAAGUGAGGGACGUGUCCUUCAUUGCAGGUACCGAAUGAAUAAGGACCGGCUAAUUACGUG
rnacentral:rRNA from 1 species